rnacentral:tRNA from 2 species
UUAUUUAUUAGUGUAUGGUGCACAUAAACCUUUGGAGUUUAAAAAAUAAGUUCAAAUCUUAUAUUAAUAA